UACGGGGGCAGGGCAGUGUUCCGGAAUUAUGGGCGUAAGGAGCGCGUAGGCGGUCCGAUAAGUCGGCUGUGAAAGUCAGGGGCUCAACCCUUGGAAGCCGGCCGAUACUGUCGGACUAGAGUCCGGAAGAGGCGAGUGGAAUUCCCGGUGUAGCGGUGAAAUGCGCAGAUAUCGGGAGGAACACCAAUGGCGAAGGCAGCUCGCUGGGACGGUACUGACGCUGAGGCGCGAAAGCGUGGGGAGCAAACAGG
rnacentral:rRNA from 1 species